AUUGAACGCUGGCGGCAGGCCUAACACAUGCAAGUCGAACGGUAACAGGAAGCAGCUUGCUGCUUCGCUGACGAGUGGCGGACGGGUGAGUAAUGUCUGGGAAGCUGCCUGAUGGAGGGGGAUAACUACUGGAAACGGUAGCUAAUACCGCAUAAUGUCGCAAGACCAAAGAGGGGGACCUUCGGGCCUCUUGCCAUCCGAUGUGCCCAGAUGGGAUUAGCUUGUUGGUGGGGUAACGGCUCACCAAGGCGACGAUCCCUAGCUGGUCUGAGAGGAUGACCAGCCACACUGGAACUGAGACACGGUCCAGACUCCUACGGGAGGCAGCAGUGGGGAAUAUUGCACAAUGGGCGCAAGCCUGAUGCAGCCAUGCCGCGUGUAUGAAGAAGGCCUUCGGGUUGUAAAGUACUUUCAGCGGGGAGGAAGGGAGUAAAGUUAAUACCUUUGCUCAUUGACGUUACCCGCAGAAGAAGCACCGGCUAACUCCGUG
rnacentral:rRNA from 1 species